AAAAUAAAAAUAAAAAUAUAUUCAUACUUAGCAUAGAUAUACCUCCAAGAUUGGUCAAGUGAUUAGCUAGGGAGGGGUAAUUGUGGGAAUUUAGCAAAGAUAAAAGAGCAUCUUUUUAUUCGGGGAUAUUUUGGGUAUUUUAGUUGCUGGAACAGAUUGCAUAUAAGAAGGUAGGGGAAAAGAGAGUAGGGUAUCUUUUGUAGAAUUUCUGGUCAUUCAACCUUUGGGAGAGAACUAGACUCUCAAGAUUCUAGUAAGCAAUAGGCUUUUUCUGGUGUUAUUUUUUAGUAUUAUCAAUUACAAACAGUGAAGCUUGUUUAUUCUUAAUGUUGUGAUUUAUCUUCUCAUAGCAGACCUUCCGCCCUCUUACGUAAGUGAAGUAUCAAAUAUGGUCAUGGAAGAGGAGAAGAGCAAGGUAACAGGUAAAUCGAAAAGGAAAAAUGUACUCAGUAACGUCUUGCUGUUGUUUUAAUUAGUACCGAACAAUUUACUUUUAGGCAUGUAAUAUUAUGGAUCAAUGUACUGAAUGUAAACGCUACCAGUUGUAAUAUUCCAAUGCUUGGUAAUGUAUGAUGUUAUGUUUCAUGUAUAUUCAUUGUGAUGGUAUUCAAUUGAGUCACAAUAGCCCUCGGACGUUUCCGCCGUCUGGUUCGGGGGUGUGACAGGUUGGUAUCAGAGCUCUAUUUAUAGUGAACUAGCAUAUCUAACCAUACAUUGAUACGCAACUAUAAACCAAAAGAGGGACUAACAUAACUCUGAACAAAACAAGUGAAAUACAACAAUAAAACACCUUUGCUUGCGUUAGGAAUAAGGAACGUAACGCCAAACCAAACAAGAUAAUGCUAGUAUCUCGGUUAAUUCAGGAUUGUUCUUAGUGGUACCAAGGAGUGGAUGUAGCCUGAUCAACUACAUUCUCUCCAAAGUAUAACUAACACGCGUUCUGAUGAGAUCGUCAUGGCUAGGGAACCUAAAAACUAUACCCCUUUAUCACCAAAAAGAGAACGUCUGUUUAGUAUAUAUCAUAGUCGUGGGAGUGACGAUAGUUUAUACUUUCCCCCAGUCGUCAUGGAGGGAGAUCAGCCGGGUAUCCAGUUCCAUCAAGUCAUAGUGGCUCACGGGAUGCUUGAAGAUGAACCAGAAGGGAAUCCAGAGGAAGCACACGACGUCCGACCUGACGAAUACAUAGACACCGACUACGAUUUUGGAGAGACCGACGAUGACGCCGAGGAAGGGCAAGACCGGGACAAGGAUCACAUCCCGUCGUGUGAGAACGAGACGCAACCAGACCACCCCACCCCGCCAAUGAACCCCCCAAGGGAGAACCGUUCCCCCGAAGCUGAGAUCGCCGCACUGCGACAACAGUUGUAUGCUAUGGAGGCUCGGGCAGUGCGAGCUGAGCAUGAGAGGGAUGAGGUUAUUGGAGACAUGAUGGAGAUGGCUCAGUUACUGGCGCAACAUUUCGGCAUAUGACCCUGCCACUACGUAGGAUGCAGAUCAUCGCGAUUAGGGAUAGACUUAUCUUAGUAGGUCAUUAGGAACUAUGCUAUGUACCCCGACUCUAUGUUUAAGUGACUACACUACUCAUAGAGCCGUUAUGCUGUCGAACUAGUGUCACUCAUGUAUGCUCUUACGAGCAAAAUUUUCA